AGUGAACGCUGGCGGUAGGCCUAACCCUUGCAAUUCGAACGGCAGCACCGUAAUAGCUUGCUUUUACGGGUGGCGAGUGGCUGACUGGUGAGGAAUUCAUCUGCCUCUACUUUUUCGUUGGGGAUAACGUAGUGAAACUUACGCUAAUACCGCAUACCACCUACGGGUUAAAGCAGGGGAUCUUCGGACCUUGCGCGAUUGACUGAGCCGAUGUCGGAUUAGAUAGUUGGCGGGGUAAAGGCCCACCAAGGCGACGAUCCGUAGCUGGUCUGAGAGGAUGAUAAGCGACACUGGAACUGAGACACGGUCAAGACGCCUAAGGGAGGCAGCAGUGGGGAAUAGGGGGCAAUGGGCGCAAGCCUGAUCCAGCCAGACCGAGUGGGUGAAGAAGGCCUUCGGGUUGGAAAGACCGUUUGUUGGGAAAGAAAAGCAGCAGGUUAAGACCCCGCGGUUCUGACGGUAACCAAAGAAUAAGCACCGGCUAACUUCGUG
rnacentral:rRNA from 1 species